AUUGAACGCUGGCGGAAUGCUUUACACAUGCAAGUCGAACGGCAGCACGGACUUCGGUCUGGUGGCGAGUGGCGAACGGGUGAGUAAUGCAUCGGAACGUGCCCAGUCGUGGGGGAUAGCCCGGGGAAACCCGGAUUAAUACCGCAUACGACCUGAGGGUGAAAGCGGGGGACUCGCAAGGGCCUCGCGCGAUUGGAGCGGCCGAUGCCGGAUUAGGUAGUUGGUGGGGUAAAGGCCUACCAAGCCUGCGAUCCGUAGCUGGUCUGAGGGGACGACCAGCCACACUGGGACUGAGACACGGCCCAGACUCCUACGGGAGGCAGCAGUGGGGAAUUUUGGACAAUGGGGGCAACCCUGAUCCAGCCAUGCCGCGUGCGGGAAGAAGGCCUUCGGGUUGUAAACCGCUUUUGUCAGGGAAGAAAUGUCCUGGGCUAAUACCCUGGGGGGAUGACGGUACCUGAAGAAUAAGCACCGGCUAACUACGUGCCAGCCGCCGCAGUAA
rnacentral:rRNA from 1 species